rnacentral:lncRNA from 1 species
GUAUUAUGAUAUUUCUGGUGUUGGUGGUUCUAUGGCUGGAAAUGGAGCUUUUGAUGCAAUUGUGAGUGAUGGAACCCACACUUUUUUAUGUUUAAGACGCGUUGUUUGUCAUAAAAAGGAAAGGUGACGUAUAAAAAUGUAAUUUUACAUCAUGUACAACAUUAGAAGCAGCAUAUACAACAUUGUGUAAGCAGAGAAAAUUAGAAAGUGUUUGUGGUUUUUUAAGACGCUGGAAGGGCACAAUUGACAAUUCAACCUCCUUGACUUUAAUUGCCAUAGUAAUUGAAUGCCAAUUGAAUGCGGUCUUCAUCACCACCGGUUCGUUUUCUCAUCAACAAUCAAUGAAAUCAUCAUGUUUACUGGUGAAUUGAUCAAUUGAAACUGAUUUUAAACUUGAAUUGAAGCAGCCCCUUCGUUUCCAGACCCACCCCCUUAUUACUCGGCAAUUGAACGCCUUUGUUGGUUCGUUUUGGGUGAAUAAUGUUGUUUUCGCGAGCGGUGGCUUGGUUUCCGGUGGCUACAAAUGAAAUUGGUAGUGAUGGUCAGACAUUAGCAUAGAUUCAGGCCAAUUCCGGUCACGCCAAUAAGUCCAGCGGAAUCCAUUCCGGUGACCUCGAAUUUAAGAACCCUAAAAUCCAAAAUCAUCCCUGACGCGAUUAAGUGUUAAUCUGAGAAGUUUAGUGGACUAGAACAGGCACAAUUUCAUCCCACCUACAUCGCGCAUGACUAACAGUUGGUUAAUGAUGCAAUCGAUUUGUAUAUAAACAGUUUUAGAUACGAAGAACACUUCAUUCUCUGCAAACCAAGAUAGUGCUAUCAGUGAGGAAUGCAGAGUUGCUUGGGAUAUAUGUUAAUAAGAGAGUUGAUGUGUUCAUGGGCUGCUUAGUAGUGGGCUGGGCUUGCAUAGAAGACAUCAUAAAUAGAUAAUGCUAAUGGGCUGGAGCUAAUGCGGGCUGAUGAUGGGCUUGCUGAUGGGUCAUGCCUGUUCGUGUGUUAAAGACUGGAGGCCUUUGAAGGCCGUGUAUAAAACGCUACGAGACAACAGACCUGAAGUGUGAGUUUUCAUUCAGUCAUCGAGAGAGUUCCAGAGUCUUCAUUCACACAAUAUAGAUUCUCUCUAGUUGAUUCACAUGUCUCGUUCGCGAUACUAUUAGGGUUUCUUGUUAGAUCAUUAUAGGGAUCGUUGUGUCGAUGGUACUCUAUAUUUUUGUAAUUGUUUCUGUUUCAGAGAUUCUUCCAGUAGUUGUGUUUUUGGGUUUCUCGUAAUACAUGUUCGCUCAGCUGUUCAUUCUCAUAUUUCACUAAAAUCUAGGGUUUCUUGUAAUUCUACAUGUUGAAAAGUUAUCAAUAAAACCUGAUUACCAUUUUCUGACAACCAUCUAUUGUGAAGUCGCGAUUUUUGCAACCAUGUUACAAAUAGAAGUACGGAAACCAAGUUGUAUACAGUUCUAGAUACAAAUUGAAAAAGUUCUUGCAAAUUGCUAAGGUCGGGGGUGUGGUUUAAAGCCCCUAUGGGGCUUUAAAGUCACUCCCUUUAACUUAUAUGCAAUGGUUAAAAGUCCCUUUAAAGCCUCAUAUUAAACAAAAUACAAAAAAAAGCAAAAGAUUUGACUGGUUGAAAAGAAUGAGCCCCACCUGCACACCCCCUUUAGCGCUUGUUAUUGGGUUGGCGGAGUUUUGAUGGCGCCCACCCCCCCCCCCCACACCCCCAGCACGUAGGGGAUGGGGUGGGGGCGCUAUAGGGCAUUAGCAGAGGUGAUGUGGUCAGGGGCACUAACAAAGGUGAUGUGGCCAGGGGUGGGAGCGUUAUAGGAUGCUAAUAAGUAGUACCCCCAAAACUUCAAGCAGUUUCUAAAUAUUUAACAUAAGUAUACAUCCAAACACUCCCUAAUUAGCAAUAACUUGAAAAUGAUAAUAUGCAAUUCCAAUUUUAUUUUAUUUUAUUUUUGUAACAGUCAACACUCCAUAAAACUUGACAAAGUGUCACUAAAUUACUGAAUAUUAAAUCACAAACAGAUGACAACUCACUGGCCAAACAUGAUGAUAACCUGAUCAAUCUGCAUAGUUAAUACCUCAUCAGGUUCGC